rnacentral:rRNA from 1 species
UACGGAGGGGGCUAGCGUUGUUCGGAAUUACUGGGCGUAAAGCGCACGUAGGCGGCUUUGUAAGUUAGAGGUGAAAGCCCAGAGCUCAACUCUGGAAUUGCCUUUGAGACUGAGUGGCUUGAGUACGAGAGAGGUGAGUGGAAUUCCCAGUGUAGAGGUGAAAUUCGUAGAUAUUGGGAAGAACACCGGUGGCGAAGGCGGCUCACUGGCUCGUAACUGACGCUCAUGCACGACAGCGUGGGGGAUCAAAACAGGG